ensembl:lncRNA
CCUGGGUAAACUCAACACUGAGAAAUACAGUAACAGUUGACCUGGGUAAACUCAACACUGAGAAAUACAGUAACAGUUGACCUGGAUAAACUCAACACUGAGAAAUACAGUAACAGUUGACCUGGGUAAACUCAACACUGAGAAAUACAGUAACAGUUGACCUGGAUAAACUCAACACUGAGAAAUACAGUAACAGUUGAUUGUCUUGAUCAAGGGUGCAUAAACUCAGGCCCUCGACGUCCACAGUCCUGCUAGGUUAGUGUUUCUCCCUGGUUCUUAUGAUCAACUAAUGAUUGGCUGACGUGUGCACACACCUCGUUUCCCAGCGACAAAUCAAUCUCUGGUAACAAGGCAAGGAUGAAAAAACUGUCCUUUUCACACUACAGAGUCGAUCUAAGCCAAGCUGAACUGGCCUGCAAAGGACAAGGUGAUAAGAAUGGUUAGAUGGUUAGGAUCAGAACAACAGUGUGACUAGGUUAAAGGAGUAGAACCAGAACAGUAUGGUUAUGAUCAGAAUGGCAGUGUGAUUAGGUUAAAGGAGUAGAACCAGACCAGUAUGGUUAGGAUCAGAACGACAGUGUGACUAGGUUAAAGGAGUAGAACCAGACCAGUAUGGUUAGGAUCAGAACGACAGUGUGACUAGGUUAAAGGAGUAGAACCAGAACAGUAUGGUUAUGAUCAGAAUGGCAGUGUGAUUAGGUUAAAGGAGUAGAACCAGACCAGUAUGGUUAGGAUCAGAACGACAGUGUGACUAGGUUAAAGGAGUAGAACCAGAACAGUAUGGUUAGGAUCAGAACGACAGUGUGAUUAGGUUAAAGGAGUAGAACCAGAACAGUAUGGUUAUGAUCAGAAUGGCAGUGUGAUUAGGUUAAAGGAGUAGAACCAGACCAGUAUGGUUAGGAUCAGAACGACAGUGUGACUAGGUUAAAGGAGUAGAACCAGAACAGUAUGGUUAGGAUCAGAACGACAGUGUGAUUAGGUUAAAGGAGUAGAACCAGACCAGUAUGGUUAGGAUCAGAACGACAGUGUGACUAGGUUAAAGGAGUAGAACCAGAACAGUAUGGUUAGGAUCAGAACGAGUGUGAUUAGGUUAAAGGAGUAGAACCAGAACAGUAUGGUUAUGAUCAGAAUGGCAGUGUGAUUAGGUUAAAGGAGUAGAACCAGACCAGUAUGGUUAGGAUCAGAACGACAGUGUGACUAGGUUAAAGGAGUAGAACCAGAACAGUAUGGUUAGGAUCAGAACGAGUGUGAUUAGGUUAAAGGAGUAGAACCAGAACAGUAUGGUUAUGAUCAAAUUCAGCUCCUUACGUUCUUGAACUAAGUUUAGCACCCUAAUAAAAAAACUACAUAUCAGAAUAUAUCAAAUAUAUAUUUUGUGUCUCUCUGGAUCAGAGCCUCUACUUGUCUUACAAGAGUAUUACUAUGCAAUAUACAAGCUGGACUUUAAAGUCUUUCGCUUCCCUCAAUACUCCUCACCUUCAGAAGUGUCUUUGGAGCAGAAUCAAGUCAAACUACAAGAAACCCAAGAAUUACAAGUCAUACUUAUAAUUGACCUGUAAGCAGCUAGUUGAAACUGUCAUCACAGUUCAAGGAACAGGAUCCUGGGUGUGUUAAUACAGCACUUGAACCAUAAGGCACUUCUUACAGUACUUAUCAGUAUAAUGAUAGGUCACCUAUAAUAAGGCACUUCUUACAGUACUUAUCAG